CCUACGGGAGGCUGCAGUGGGGAAUAUUGGACAAUGGGGGGAACCCUGAUCCAGCCAUGCCGCGUGUGUGAAGAAGGCCCUCGGGUUGUAAAGCACUUUCAGUGAGGAAGAACGCCUGGUGGUUAAUACCCAUCAGGAAAGACAUCACUCACAGAAGAAGCACCGGCUAACUCCGUGCCAGCAGCCGCGGUAAUACGGAGGGUGCGAGCGUUAAUCGGAAUUACUGGGCGUAAAGCGCGCGUAGGUGGCUUGAUAAGCCGGUUGUGAAAGCCCCGGGCUCAACCUGGGAACGGCAUCCGGAACUGUCAAGCUAGAGUGCAGGAGAGGAAGGUAGAAUUCCCGGUGUAGCGGUGAAAUGCGUAGAGAUCGGGAGGAAUACCAGUGGCGAAGGCGGCCUUCUGGACGGACACUGACACUGAGGUGCGAAAGCGUGGGUAGCAAACAGGAUUAGAUACCCGGGUAGUC
rnacentral:rRNA from 1 species